rnacentral:lncRNA from 1 species
UAAAAAUAAAUCAGUUCAGUGGGCUGACUUGCAUGCUGUUUUCCUAGCAGUGAUGGAAGAAUUGAACAAUGGCAAAAAUCCCCUAUGUUUAGGUAUUUACCAACUCAUGGGCCAUAACCAAUGGCCUGGCCAUAUGGUCAGGUAGAUGGGCAAUAGGAAACUGAACCAUUAAAAAGAUCCCAAUACGGGACACGGCCCUAUGGAAAUCACUCUGGGAAUUUAAGGGGCACAUUAAAGUAGGACAUGUCAAUGCCCAUCAGAAGAACACUUUUUCAGGUUUGGAAGGUUACUGGAAUCACCAAGUGGACAUUGUGGCAUGCUCCCUUGAAGUGGCCACCUCGGUCCAUCAAAUGAAGGGACUUGGGAGGACUGCAGCAAAGUAGAAAUGGGUUGAAUCUAGACAUAUUUUUCUUGCACCCUGAGAGGCACAAAAUGCCAAUAAGAACUGCUCUGUUUGUCAACAAGAGAGACAGAGACUGUAGAUAACUAUGGGGAAAAUUCCACAGGAAGAAGGUUCUGCACAUAGCUGUCAUUGGAUUACACUAGACUGAUGCCACUAGCCCUGGGAAGUUAUAAAUGUGUCCUAACAGGAAUAGAUACUUCAAGGAGGGCUUUACAUACCUCGUGGUAGAUGUAAGCACUCAAAAUACUACUAAAGGACUGGAACAGAAAAUACCAUCUUAAUUUGGACAGCCAAGUUACAUAUCUUUGGACUAAGUUCCAAGACCAGGGAUGCAACUACGGGUGCUGGAAGCAGGAAGGAUUCUUAAUCAAGAAACUGUAACUAUACCUUUAAAUCAUUAUGUCAGAAUUCCUAAGGACCUGAUGGGGUAGAUUUUGCUUUCACUCCAUCUGGCAAAGUUGGCACUGACAGUGAAUGCUGCUAUGUUGCCUAGUGGUUGGGACAGCCUACUGGUUCUGUACCUGUGUAACCCUACUGUAUGUGAGUGGAAGUGGAUGGAGAUGGAGGCACUUGCUGGAAUAGUAUUGCUGCCAGCAAUCUGAAACAGCUCAGUGGCUGAAGCUAAUGCCCCUUAUAAGGGUGGAAAAGUCUGAGUAAAGACAAAUGACAAAUGAAAAAAAG